rnacentral:rRNA from 1 species
UACGUAGGGUGCAAGCGUUAAUCGGAAUUAUUGGGCGUAAAGGGUGCGUAGGCGGUUUGGUAAGUCUUAUGUGAAAUCUACAGGCUCAACUUGUAGUCUGCACGAGAAACUGCCGGGCUUGAGUAUGGGAGAGGUGAGUGGAAUUCCUGGUGUAGCGGUGAAAUGCGUAGAUAUCAGGAGGAACACCUGUGGCGAAAGCGACUCACUGGACCAUAACUGACGCUGAUGCACGAAAGCUAGGGGAGCAAACAGG